UUUUGUGGAAGCAUGAACUUGGAAGACAGUGAGCAACAUUCCCAAUGGUGUGAUACUGGCAUCAAGGACAGAAUAAUUACAGUGUUUUUUCCCUUACACUCAAACAGAAAUAGCUCUUCCAGAUAUGAAAAGCAAAAAAAAAAAAAAAAGAGACUUUUUAUAAAUCUUG